rnacentral:rRNA from 1 species
ACCAGCACCUCAAGUGGUCAGGAUGAUUAUUGGGCCUAAGCAUCCGUAGCCUGCUUUGUAAGUUUCGGUUAAAUCCAUACGCUCAACGUAUGGGCUGCCGGGAAUACUGCAAAGCUAGGGAGUGGGAGAGGUAGACGGUACUCGGUAGGAAGGGUAAAUCCUUUGAUCUAUUGAUGACCACCUGUGGCGAAGGCGGUCUACCAGAACACGUCCGACGGUGAGGGAUGAAAGCUGGGGGAGCAAACCGGAUUAGAUACCCGGGUAGUCCCAGCUGUAAACUAUGCAAACUCAGUGAUGCAUUGGCUUGAUGCCAAUGCAGUGCUGCAGGGAAGCCGUUAAGUUUGCCGCCUGGGAAGUACGUACGCAAGUAUGAAACUUAAGGGAAUUGGCGGGGAGCACCACAAGGGGUGAAGCCUGCGGUUC